ensembl:lncRNA
AAGAAUCUGCCUGCAAUGCAGAAGGCCUAGGUUCAAUCGCUGGGUGGAGGAAGAUUCCCUGGAGAAGGAAACGGCUACCCACUCCAGUAUUCUUGCCUGGGAAUUCCCAUGGAGAGAGGAGCCUGGUGGGCUACACUCCAUGAGGGUCUCAAAGAGUCGGACACGACUGAGGGAUUAAACCACCAGCACCCCCUCAGGUACCCAGGACUGCUAACUGGGGACAGCAUCCAGGAUCAUCAGCCCCAGAGUCCAGUGAGCACAGCCCAUGACUCUUGGCUUCCAAAGCUCAUCAUGGAACCAGCACUAACAGAUGCUGCUUCUGAGCCAUAGUUCUUCUUAAUUGUUAAAACAGAAUGAUUGAAAUGCUAUUACAAGCCAUCCUCAGUGAAGAUGCAGGAGACUCGCCUCCAGUG